rnacentral:rRNA from 1 species
GGCUCAGAACGAACGCUGGCGGGCAGGCCUAAAACAUGCAAGUUGAACGGCCGUAGCAAUACAGCAGUAGCGCACGGGUGAGUAAUAUAUGGGAACAUGUCUUUUGGUGGGGAAUAUUCUCUGGAAACGGAGAGCAAUACCGCAUAAGCCUACGGGGGAAAGAUUUAUCGCCGAUUGAGUGGCCCAUAUUGGAUUAGCUAGUUGGUUGGGUAACGGCUGACCAAGGCGACGAUCCAUAGCUGAUCUGAGAGGAUGAUCAGCCACACUGGGACUGAGACACGGCCCAGACUCCUACGGGAGGCAGCAGUUAGGAAUAUUGGACAAUGGGGGCAACCCUGAUCCCAGCCAUGCCGCGUGAGUGUUAAGGCCUUCGGGUUGUAAAGCUCUUUUGUAUGGGAAAAUGAUGAUGGUACCAUAAGAAUAAGCACCGGCUAACUUCGUGCCAGCAGCCGC